AUUGUGACUCGUUUGAGCUCUUAGCCAGGCGUGUAGUCUGGCGGGAGCCGUCGCGGCUGGCUCGGCAGCUCCAGGCUAUUCCGAGGAACAGUCUUCAGAGAGCCUGGGGUGCUGAUGGGGAAAAGCUGUUGCUGAGAUUUGACAAGUUUGGUCCUGAGAUGUCAGAAAGGAUUUCAGCUCUUCUGCCACCCCAAGGACGGUGGCGCGUAAAUCACAGUGAGCUGGCUUAUGUCAGGUCAACUGUGGAAUUUGAUCCUAGCGCAUUGCUCCCUCCUCUUCCUUGCCUGCGUCUCUCCCUCUCUCAGCUCUAGUUUGAGAUCAGCACAGAUUCCCUGGGUGAUUUUUGAGAAAACUGCCUCCUCUUUAGGACUUGGCAUCCCCUAACCUGCAUCAGGAAAGGGUGGCGACAGAUACUCUCACACCCAGGGAGGCUGCAAGGCCCACCCUCUACCCUCCACCUGGGUUCUCUGGCGUCGAGACUUGUGCCCUACAGUUCUGGGCCGUUGGGGUGAUGUCCCAGUGGGACCAGGGUGAGGGUGCAGGUAUCUGAGGGAGUAGUAGGACCAGAACCUCUAACCUUAGGGAGGCUUCCUGGGAGCCAAGCUUGGUGACUUAGAAUGUGAAUGUCUGACCCAUAUCCCACUACCUUUUGGUGGGUGCUGCAGAGGACAAUGGAGAGAGAGUCAACUCUGAAGAGUGGUCUUGUGGAAGAGGCAGCUGGCUGGUUCAGUGUGGCACUGGCAGCCUCCCUAAGGUUCCCAGGUAGAAGUUUCUGACAGGUAGAUUUCAGCUGUGUUUAAGGAAGAACUUUGAAGUUGUCAGAAUGAGCGGUCUUGUGAUAGUGAGCUCCCUGUCUCCAGAGGCAUGCAAGCAGGACACUUUCACAUAUGCAUUCAAGAUGACCUAUGCAAGGCGUUGUGCUAAGUGCUAGGAGUGCAGAGGAGAACGAGACCCAGUGGGGAAACAGGCACUUGCAAUGCUGCUGUGAGUGUGAGCAGAGAAGGACAUGUUGCAGAAGAAAUGCAAGUACAGUGAAGAAUAAGACUGGGGAACUUUUACAAUUCAGAGUGGCCUUCACUGUGGGCGGUCCGAAUUGAUCCCUGUAUACAGGUGCUUCUGGGGUGACAUUUUCCCUGCUCCAUGGAGCUCCGGGAGGAGUGCGGACCAACCCCUUCUUUGCAGGCCUGUCUGUGGGGUGCCACUCCUCCUCCCACCUCCCCACUGCACAGACAGCCCAUCAGUGUCCCUGAGCUGCUCCAGAAGGAUGCAGCUCUGAGGAGGCUCUGGGAGCGGUGUAUCCUAGCAACCUCUGAGGCUGGCAUCUGCAGGGCUAGGCCCAGACUCAAGGCUCUUUCUAAUUUGCCAGCCUUCCCUUAAUGAUAAGCUUUCCCACACGGAUGUGGAGUGGGGAGGAAGAGGGGAGAAGUGGGCAGGAAGUGUUGCCUCCAACCCCAUCACAGAGUAGGUCAAGCCUCGCCCACAAUACUGCCGGGGAUGGGGAAGGAGGGAGGGCACAGUGAGUCCGUUAACUGAAUAUGCCACUUGUCCAUCACCGUGGCCGGUUUAUCACCAUUUAGAGGACAAUGAAUCCAGGCAGUGAUCCACCAAUGAUAACUAACAUCAUAAAAAGAUACAUGGCCGGAUAUGAUGUUCCUUCUGACGGAAGACCACAACACCUGCUGAAAAAUCAAAUCUGAAUCGGAUCAAGCCUCUAGAGGAGGCAGCACCCAGGGUCAUUCCUGGAGCAUAAACGAUCCCUGCAGAACAUGGGCUAGAAGACCCCACAGUGGGGCAGAGGCAGGUCCUGGACUGGGAUCCCAGCAGUGAGAAGACCUGGACAUCAACCCUAUUUCAUUGUGCCUCUGCAAAUCUCCCAACUUUUGGAGCUGUAGCUGCAAGCUCAGACUUGUGGUUUCCUGUACCUGGAGGAGGCCCAGGUCAUUCUGUUAAGUCCCUUGUCUAUUUCCUGCUUUUAUCUGGAUGCUGAGUUAAUUAUUUGAUCCAACAAUAAAACUAACAAGGUUUU
ensembl:lncRNA LINC00642 long intergenic non-protein coding RNA 642